GGUGCAAGCGUUAUCCGGAAUUAUUGGGCGUAAAGAGCUCGUAGGCGGUUUGUCGCGUCUGCUGUGAAAUCCCGAGGCUCAACCUCGGGCCUGCAGUGGGUACGGGCAGACUAGAGUGCGGUAGGGGAGAUUGGAAUUCCUGGUGUAGCGGUGGAAUGCGCAGAUAUCAGGAGGAACACCGAUGGCGAAGGCAGAUCUCUGGGCCGUAACUGACGCUGAGGAGCGAAAGGGUGGGGAGCAAACAGGCUUAGAUACCCUGGUAGUCCACCCCGUAAACGUUGGGAACUAGUUGUGGGGUCCUUUCCACGGAUUCCGUGACGCAGCUAACGCAUUAAGUUCCCCGCCUGGGGAGUACGGCCGCAAGGCUAAAACUCAAAGGAAUUGACGGGGGCCCGCACAAGCGGAGGAGCAUGUGGUUUAAUUCGAUGAUACGCGAGGAACCUUACCAGGGCUUAAAUGGGAGACGACAGGACUGGAAACAGUUUUUUCUUCGGACGUCUUUCAAGGUGCUGCAUGGUUGUCGUCAGCUCGUGCCGUGAGGUGUCAGGUUAAGUCCUAUAACGAGCGCAACCCCUAUUGUUAGUUGCCAGCGGGUCAUGCCGGGAACUCUAACAAGACUGCCGGUGACAAACCGGAGGAAGGUGGGGAUGACGUCAAGUCCUCAUGGCCCUUAUAGGUGGGGCUACACACGUCAUACAAUGGUGGGGACAGAGGGCUGCAAACCCGCGAGGGUGAGCCAAUCCCAGAAACCCCAUCUCAGUCCGGAUUGGAGUCUGCAACUCGACUCCAUGAAGUCGGUAUCGCUAGUAAUCGCAGAUCAGCAUUGCUGCGGUGAUACGUUCCCGGGCCUUUACACACCGCCCGU
rnacentral:rRNA from 1 species